UACGUAGGGUGCGAGCGUUGUCCGGAAUUAUUGGGCGUAAAGAGCUUGUAGGCGGUUUGUCGCGUCUGCUGUGAAAAUCCGGGGCUCAACCCCGGACUUGCAGUGGGUACGGGCAGACUAGAGUGUGGUAGGGGAGACUGGAAUUCCUGGUGUAGCGGUGAAAUGCGCAGAUAUCGGGAGGAACACCGGUGGCGAAGGCGGUUCUCUGGGCCUGUACUGACGCUGAGGAGCGAAAGCGU
rnacentral:rRNA from 1 species